rnacentral:lncRNA from 1 species
UGGAGAAAUCGGAUUCUAGUUUCCUUGUCUGCCGUAAACUAUGUGGAUGGUUUCGUUUCAGACAGUUACAGCCCCAGCGCAGCCCCUCACCAGCUCCCAGAAACCGUGAGAAGCAGCCCAUAGCUUGUUACCUGUUUAUCCAAAGGACAGAUCAGUGCUCAAGAAAAGCUGUGUGACCCUUGGCAAGUUACUUAACCUCUCUGCAUCUCGCGACCCUGAUGGAACAAAGAAGGAAAUAGCGAUACAUGUUUUCAGCACUGUUUGAGGCUAGAGACACUGUUCAGCAAAGGGCUUCCCGUCGUUCCUGGCCCAGCAUGGUUAUUCCAUAUGUACUGGCUUUUAUAGGUUAAUAAAUUAGAGCUGGGAACACAGUGGACCAUCUCAGGCAGCGAUGAGCUCCCAUGGAUGGGAGUGUUCAAACAGACCAGAGGCAAGGCCAGGUCUUUGGAGA